ensembl:lncRNA ZNF84-DT ZNF84 divergent transcript
GAGCUCAGGCAAUCCGCCCGCCUUGGCCUCCCAAAGUGCUAGGAUUACAGGCGUGAGCCACCGCGCCCGGCCCACCAAUACUCAAUUGGUUUGACUUCAGUUGAGGAAACCAGAAAAAAUUUAAAUAUAUUUAUGGAAAGAAGCUAUUGGGAGAGUGGCUGAGUACUGAGUCUAUCACUACUUGGAUGAUACAGCUUCUGUCUUCAAGAUAAGCAGAAUUGUUCAGAAUCCACUGGAAUCCAAAUUCAACUUGGGCCUCAAUUUCUGCAGAUGGACACCUCUGGACUCCAAAAAAUCCAAGGACAUAAAAAACUUAAGCAGCCUUUAUUACAUUUAGUUCAACAAGUUUAAAGUAGUCUAAAACCAGCCUCUGCCUGAUCAAACUAGAAGGCCAGAAACAGAGGGCAGCUGAAGGAAACAGCUCACUCAAGAUGCCAACCAGGCCUCUGUUCAUGCCAUCAUGGAUAAGAUCUAUUUUUGAGGGUCUAAUUAAGUUAAGAACUA